rnacentral:rRNA from 1 species
GAUGAACGCUGGCGGCGUGCUUAACACAUGCAAGUCGAACGGAAAGGCCCUGAUUUUGUGGGGUGCCCGAGUGGCGAUGGGGUGAGUAACACGUGUGUAACCUGACCUUGUCUUUGGGGUAACUUAAGGAAACUGGGGCUAAUAUAGGAUAGGAGAUCCUGCUGCGUGGUGGGGGUUGGAAAGUUUCGGCGGUUGGGGAUGGAUUCGCGGCUUAUGAGCUUGUUGGUGGGGUAGUGGCUUACCCAGGAAUUGACGGGUAGGCGGCCUGAGAGCGUGACCGGGCACAAUGGGACUGCGAUACGGCCCAGUCGCCUACGUGAGGCAGCAGUGGGGAGUAUUACACAACGGUCGCGAGCCUGUUGCGACGGCGCUGCGUUUGUGAAGACGUCCUUCUGGGAAUAAACCGCUGUCGCCUGUUACGAAGCGGUAGUGACGGUAAUGAAUAAAUAAGCACCGGCUAACUACGUG